rnacentral:tRNA from 1 species
GCCCCGGUACCCCAAUUGGCAGAGGGAGCCGCCUCAAACGCGGUCCAGUGUGGGUUCGAAUCCCACCCGGGGCA